rnacentral:rRNA from 1 species
UACGUAGGGGGCAAGCGUUGUCCGGAAUCAUUGGGCGUAAAGCGCGUGUAGGCGGUUCGGUAAGUCGGCUGUGAAAGUCCAGGGCUCAACCCUGGGAUGCCGGUCGAUACUGCCGGACUAGAGUUCGGAAGAGGCGAGUGGAAUUCCCGGUGUAGCGGUGAAAUGCGCAGAUAUCGGGAAGAACAUCGGUGGCGAAAGCGCUCUACUGGACGGUAUCUGACACUGAGGGACGAAAGCUAGGGGAGCGAAUGGG